CUGAGCAUAAGAAUAUUGUU
rnacentral:miRNA from 1 species